GACGAACGCUGGCGGCGUGCUUAACACAUGCAAGUCGAGCGGUAAGGCCCUUUCGGGGGUACGACGAGCGGCGAACGGGUGAGUAACACGUGGGUGACCUGCCCUCCAGCUCUGGGAUAAGCCUGGGAAACCGGGUCUAAUACUGGAUAUGACUCCAUGACGCAUGUUGUGGGGUGGGAAAGCCUUGUGCGGCUGAGGAUGGGCCCGCGGCCUAUCAGCUUGUUGGUGGGGUGGAUGGCCUACCAAGGCGACGACGGGUAGCCGG
rnacentral:rRNA from 1 species